rnacentral:rRNA from 1 species
UACGUAGGGUGCGAGCGUUAAUCGGAAUUACUGGGCGUAAAGCGUGCGCAGGCGGUUUGUUGUGUCUGAUGUGAAAGCCCCGGGCUUAACCUGGGAAUGGCAUUGGAAACUGGCAAGCUGGAGUGUGGCAGAGGGGGGUGGAAUUCCGCGUGUAGCAGUGAAAUGCGUAGAGAUGCGGAGGAACACCGAUGGCGAAGGCGGCCCCCUGGUCGGAUACUGACGCUGAGACGCGAAAGCGUGGGGAGCAAACAGG